UGAGGUUGAGUAAAAGACCACUGUUCUUGCUUUUGCUUGAGUAAUAGUGGGAUACAAUUGUAUUUGAGGCUCAUCUGUCUUGGAAAAGGACAGGCACAGGCCGCAAUGUUUGAUUUCAUGGGCUUGUUUUGUCAGAGAAAGAACUUCAAUUCGAAGUCAGAGAAAGACAACUUGGCACCUCGAAAUUCUCAAGCUUUAAAUAUUUCCUUUUCUUUCAAUUCUAAGGAAUCCAUUUAAUCUUGUGUCUUGAUGGCUGAGUUGAUGCUCAUGUGCUUCCUCUUUAAAACUUGUAUUAAUAUCCAAGAAGAAGAAGAGUCGAUUUGCUAGAGACAUUGCAUAUGUUUCUGUUGCAGCAAAGCUUUCGAGCUGUCUGUUUAUCUUCAGAUAUGAGUCAUGGCCAAUGGGCAAAUUGGGUUCACUCAGACUUCAAAAUGAUUUGGCCUUCGCCCGAGCUGCACUGUGGUGGCUUGACGAAGAGAUUGGUGAGGAAGGCUUUCUAGUUCUGUUUCAUACAACAACGAAGCAGGUGAUGGAGCUGGUGUUGACAUAUCUGUGGUCCGAAUUUGAUUUAGUUCCUUAGCGUUUUCUCUUUUGUUCCAUAGAAAAGCUGCAGAGGCAGCAAUUGUUAUGGCUACACACACAAAUAACAUGCCGAAAGCUGAACUUGCUGGCAUUGGAUACUUCAUGUUGGUAUUGUGGUCGAUUGGGAAUAUGUAGAAUCGUGUGAGAAGGCCAGUCAACAGAAGGAAAAUGAUAAAAGAGGAGGAGAUUAUCACGCUGAGCCACAGCCAGCUGUUAGGGCCUAAUACUGCAGAAACUGGUGCAUCAGAUGGAUUAGGCUUGAACAAUAUUGUUCUAAUAGAACUCUGGUUCACUGUUUUUGGCUCUGUCUCUUGGGUUAUGUAGGCUUCAAUUUGCAGCUGCAAUCGAGAGAGGUCAAGAGUGGUCCCUGAAACUGGGAGAAGAAGUUCAAGCAUGGUGAGAUUGGCAUAUUUCUUGAAUGCACAUAUAAGGUGAAUCGCUGGAGUCUUGCUGCCUGUUGUGUUGGAUUUAAAGAUGAUCUCGCGGAUGAUGGAGAUGAAAGGAGUUACGCCACUUCCACCACUCACCAACACUAGCUUCUCAUACCUGGGACAAUUUUUUCUAUGUUAAUUUAGAUGCCCCAAAAAUUUCAAUCUUGAUAUAUAGAUUCUGCUAACAUUUGAUUACCUCAUAAAAUUGGCUGAAGGAGGGCCAUAUGGUCCUUCAAUAGAGACCUCAAGUCUGUUAGUAGGAGAAGGGGAGGACAGAAUCUGAUACAACUUGUGAGACCAACUUCCAUCGCAUUUGAUGACAACGCUUAGCUUAUCAGAAUCCAUAUUGCUGUUGGAGGUAACAGUAAAGGGAUGCCAUUGUAUCCUGGAAAUGCUAGACACAUUUAUGAAUGCAAUGCUUGUUGGUGCAUAGCUCAAUCCUGGCACAACGAUGAACAAAAAGAAUGUCAAAUAAUAUAUCGAAUGGUAAAAUGCGUGCUGCGACAGAACGGAUUUUUUGCUGAGAUUGUAACAAUCUCAAAUAUCGAUCGAUCAAGAAGAGGUAGAAACCAGGAAGGAUGAGGCAAGACCCAGCAAAACCAACAUGGAACACAUAGAAGAUAACAAACACAACGUAGAGAUGAUGACUA